GGUUAUAUUCAAAAUUUGAUUCGGAUAAUAAUGUCAAGAUUAGCAGAUUAACGUUCAAAUACCCUUCAUCAUUAAAAGUUUGUAUUUAUCCUGCCUCAAAGAUUUCACGCAUGCCUCGAAUGGCGGGCGUUUUGUUUUGGGAAUGUCUGCGAUAAGGAUGCAUUAUGGCUUUGGGAUGGCCGAGAAAGGAUGUCUUGCUUUCCUCGUUUUGCUGGGACUGGAUUAGGAAAACUACUGGCUAUUGCAAAGCAAAUUGUUCGCAGAUAUUAUAAAAGGAAUUAGGGGAUAAUGCGAGCCAAUUGUUUCAGGUGCUACUUGUGUGGCUUCGUGGGACGGCUUCAUCAGUUCGGGUUACCCAAUUUCCCGAUAGCCGAAACAAGGGGAAACCGAGACCUAUUGACCGUCGGCCAAUUUCACGUUAAUAAUACCCGUAAAACGAGCCAAUCCCCUAAUGAAGCCGUCUGGUCCCAGUCCACCUGCUCCUUAGCCGCUUCUAACUGUGAUUCUGCAAAACAGGAGGGAAUAACUAAGCCGUGACCGGGAUGACCAGAUAGAACCGCAUUGUUUCUGGAUGAACGCGUGUGGUCGAGCCGACGGGUCGGCCCUCAGACAAAAGAAAAGCAAACAGGCCAACAGACAAUAAAUAAACAAUAGAUCUGUUUAAGGACUGCUACCUCAUGUUGCUCGGCACUACCCC